GAGAUGCACUGAGGUGGAGGAGGAAGGAGUGUUUUUGUGAUGUGUAACUCCCCCUGUUAGAUGCUGAAAGGAAUCACCAUGGGGUGAGCUGGAUGGGAGGCUGGCUUUUCCUCCCCCUUGACAAGAGCAGCCUGUCCCAGCCCUGCCUGCUGACCUCCUGCUCUGUGGAUGCCCGAGGUGCCUUCCUCUCCUCUGUCCAGGAAAGCACUUCUUUCUCAUCCAUAUACCCAGACAGAAGAAGGGAAGAUUUUUCAGUUAAGCGUGAUUACUGCUGUG
rnacentral:lncRNA from 1 species